CCCCGCCCCGCCCCGCCCCGCGCCUGCCUUGCCCGGUCCGCCCUGUCUUCCAGCAGGGCGGGGCCCGGCUCCGGUUGUUCCGCCACGUUUGAGCGGGCGAGCCCGGCGGCCGGGAGACGCCAGGGAACGGGGCUGGUGGGGGUACAAAGGCUCGGUUCCGUCGCCUUCAGCCCUGCGGUGGGGGCACGGGGCAAGUGAGGGGACGGCAGAGGCGGCGUUCGGUGUGAGGCUGCGCCCUGGGCUCCUGAAAAUCCAGGGCUGCAGUCAUUUGAAGGCUUGACUGGGGCUGGAGGAUUUUCAUCCAAGAUGGCUCACUCACCCAGCUGUUGGCAGGAGACCUCGGUUCUUUGACUUCUCCGUAAGACUGUUUUCUACCUCCAUUACGUCACUCAGACUGCUUGGUACAUUACCAAAGACCAAAGACCAAAGACCAAAUCCAUGACCAUUUACUCAUCUUUCAAGACUCAGAAGUCAGCUGUGGUACCAAGCCUUUUCUGACCUUCCCAGAUGAAUAACCAAUGCAGAGAGAUGAGGAAAUUUACCAAAGCCAUACAACUACUCAAUUUCAAAGUGACCCAUCAGAACCACGUGGAAGUACUCAGAGACUUCUAAGAACACUGAAGCCAUAGCCUGCAAGAAAUAGAAUCAAGUUAUCUGAUUAAUGCCUUUUGCUCACCUUUGUGAUAACAAUUUUUGUGAUUGAAGUGAUAGGAAACU
rnacentral:lncRNA from 1 species